AGGGCAAAGAGGGUCUCAAAGGAAUCCAGGGACCACCCGGUCUCCUUGGAUUAAUGGGUCAGGAUGGAAAAAUGGGCAAAGAUGGGCGACCAGGAGAAACUGGAGAAUCUGGCAAGCAAGGUGAACCUGGACCUCAAGGAAACCAGGGGCUCAGGGGGCUACCGGGCUUUAAGGGCCACAGAGGAGAACCUGGACCUGCAGGAACCAAGG